rnacentral:rRNA from 1 species
UACGGGGGGGGGCAAGCGUUGUUCGGAAUUACUGGGCGUAAAGGGCUCGUAGGUGGCCAACUAAGUCAUACGUGAAAUCCCUCGGCUUAACCGGGGAACUGCGUCUGAUACUGGAUGGCUUGAGGUUGGGAGAGGGAUGCGGAAUUCCAGGUGUAGCGGUGAAAUGCGUAGAUAUCUGGAGGAACACCGGUGGCGAAGGCGGCUACCUGGACAAUUGCUGACGCUCAGGCACGAAAGCGUGGGGAGCAAAAGGGG